ACUGGGAUUGCAUGGUGUAUAUAACUUGACUUUUAAUCAAGUUGUCCGGGGUUCGAAUCCCCGAUGUCUCAGUA
rnacentral:tRNA from 1 species